rnacentral:rRNA from 1 species
UACAGAGGGUGCAAGCGUUGUUCGGAUUCACUGGGCGUAAAGGGUGCGUAGGUGGCUUGGUAAGUUUGAUGUGAAAUCUCCGGGCUUAACCCGGAAAUGGCAUUGAAUACUAUUGAGCUGGAGGUUUGGAGGGGGGACUGGAAUUCUCGGUGUAGCAGUGAAAUGCGUAGAUAUCGAGAGGAACACCAGUGGCGAAGGCGAGUCCCUGGACAACACCUGACACUGAGGCACGAAAGCUAGGGGAGCAAACAGG